rnacentral:tRNA from 1 species
GGGGGUGAAGCUCAGUGGUAGAGCACAUGCUUAGCAUGCAUGAGGUCCUAGGUUCAACCACCAGUACCUCCA